rnacentral:rRNA from 1 species
GAUGAACGCUGGCGGCGUGCCUAAUACAUGCAAGUCGAGCGAACAGACGAGGAGCUUGCUCCUCUGACGUUAGCGGCGGACGGGUGAGUAACACGUGGAUAACCUACCUAUAAGACUGGGAUAACUUCGGGAAACCGGAGCUAAUACCGGAUAAUAUAUUGAACCGCAUGGUUCAAUAGUGAAAGACGGUUUUGCUGUCACUUAUAGAUGGAUCCGCGCCGCAUUAGCUAGUUGGUAAGGUAACGGCUUACCAAGGCGACGAUGCGUAGCCGACCUGAGAGGGUGAUCGGCCACACUGGAACUGAGACACGGUCCAGACUCCUACGGGAGGCAGCAGUAGGGAAUCUUCCGCAAUGGGCGAAAGCCUGACGGAGCAACGCCGCGUGAGUGAUGAAGGUCUUCGGAUCGUAAAACUCUGUUAUUAGGGAAGAACAAAUGUGUAAGUAACUAUACACGUCUUGACGGUACCUAAUCAGAAAGCCACGGCUAACUACGUG